CAAAAGUCUAUAUCACUUUUCUCCGCGUGUUCCUAUUCCUGUGACCUUUGACCCGUAUCUGGUUGAGUGGAAUCAGCCGGUUUCUCUCUCGACUGGUUUUCCCGAUGUCUAUUUUUAGAACUAGGCCUCGAUCUAGUCUCCAUUCCCUGUGUUGCUCCCUCGUGUGUAUAUUCCUGUGAAUUUGGAUUUAAAGUGUUUGUUUGCGAAUAACGUGAUUGUGAUCGGCUCCUUGCACGAUUUCUAUUAUGGAUAACAUCUAGGAUAACAUCGACUUGCUCUGAAGACGGCCCUGGCUGCCCGGGGGCAAGGGUGUGAGUGAAUGCAAGUACCCGGUACUGUUUGACGGGUCCAGUAGAAAAUGUAUGGAAGAAGUCGAGUGCGGGUCGCGGAAGGUCAAGAAAAAUGGGUGUGAUUAUUACAACAAUCAGUGUAACGGGCCCCAUUGUCCAUCUUGCAUUAUACGGUUUCCGAAAUGCGAGGGCUUGACGGACGGCAUAUACCCACAUGCUUCCAAACAUGGAUCGCCUUUUCUUAUGGUCUGCAAGAACGAGCGCUUCGUCGAGGAAUUUUUUUGUCCUGCUUGGGAAAGAUAGAUGUUCAACCACGGCCAUGAACCAAGACGCACCCUGGUGUAACCUUCGCGAAACACUUGUUAUACUGCCAUUACUUUAGCUGAG